AAGCCUUGCAGAUGAGAUGUAGGGGAUGAAGUAGGAGAAGCUCAGCUUUCCCACGCUGCAGGGAAAUUUCCUGGGCAGGUUUUACAUUUUGUUAUUUCCCCACUCGCAGGCUCUGCGAGAGCCUGGACGUCGGGGACGUCGGAGUGACGGAGGACGCAGCGCGUCCCCUCGCCAUCAGGAGCCUCGUCACAGUGACAAGGCAGACGUGAGUCAUGGCUGGAGAUGCUUUAUGUAAAUGAGGAACAUCUGGUGUUCCCCUGGUGCCCGUGGGGCCACGUAAAAUUCACGUGAGUGACACUGUGUUCCUGCUGAGGCAGGGCAGGGAAAUGGGGUAAGGUGGCUGUGGUUUCCCCAAAGAGGGCAAUAAUUGGUCAAAACCGGUGGUGAAGCUGAAAGUGAAGCCCAGCAAGGGAAGGUUCCUUCCCAGCACCAGUGCCUGGAGAAAAUUUUCUGUUGCCUUUUGCUGUUAAUUGCAAAAGUGAUUGAGCCACUGAUGGUAAAUUCUGGGGGGGGAGCCAGAGAAGGGGGAAGUAAAGAAUUUCAGCCGAGAGUUCUCUCGCUGCGAAAUCAGUCAGUUUUAGUAAGAUCCAUGGGUCAUCUGUGACACAGCAAACUUCUUUAGGAAGAAAUGAGGAGAGGUCCUGCUGCUGAGUGGCACGAUGCUGCAGUCCCUGUGCUGAUGGCCUUGUGUGGGCAGCACAUCCCAGGCAGGAGCACUGAGGAGGAGGAGGAGGAGUGGAAGCGUGAAAAAUCAGCACAGUGGAAUCGUGUCCAUCCAAAGCCACGGAUAAUAUUAUUUCAGUCAAGAAGUUCCAUGCUGUGGCUGUACAGCCCAAACUGCAGAUGGUGCAGCACUUACCACAUCUUUCUCAAAAUUAGCACGGAGGUGUUGACAUCAUGUUCCUGCACAUGCAACAUGCAAAAAAAGCUCAGGGUUCAUCACUCUUGUUUUGGCACAAAUAAAACAACUUUUGCUCAUUGCUACUGAUUUUCUGCUGUCCUGCUUUCCUCUGCUGGAGUCGGUGUCUGUGGGGAGUCAGGCACAACCAGAUUUUUGCUCUCUUAUGGUGUUAAGUGCAGCUUGCAGUGAAAACCAGCAGUGUUCAGGGGGUUUUGGGCAGUGUGUGACCCGUUCCUCAGGCACAAAGCUCCGUGGGAAGGACCUGUGUGGCUG
rnacentral:lncRNA from 1 species